rnacentral:rRNA from 1 species
AACGAACGCUGGCGGCAGGCCUAACACAUGCAAGUCGAGCGAGGACUUCGGUCCUAGCGGCGGACGGGUGCGUAACGCGUGGGAACGUGCCCUUUGCUUCGGAAUAGCCCUGGGAAACUGGGAGUAAUACCGGAUGAGCCCUUUGGGGGAAAGAUUUAUCGGCGAAGGAUCGGCCCGCGUUGGAUUAGGUAGUUGGUGGGGUAAUGGCCUACCAAGCCGACGAUCCAUAGCUGGUUUGAGAGGAUGAUCAGCCACACUGGGACUGAGACACGGCCCAGACUCCUACGGGAGGCAGCAGUGGGGAAUAUUAGACAAUGGGGGAAACCCUGAUCUAGCCAUGCCGCGUGAGCGAUGAAGGCCUUAGGGUUGUAAAGCUCUUUCAGCUGGGAAGAUAAUGACGGUACCAGCAGAAGAAGCCCCGGCUAACUCCGUG